rnacentral:rRNA from 1 species
GUGCCAGCAGCCGCGGUAAUACGGAGGGGACUAGCGUUGUUCGGAAUUACUGGGCGUAAAGCGCGCGUAGGCGGACCAGUCAGUCAGAGGUGAAAGCCCUGGGCUCAACCCAGGAACGGCCUUUGAUACUGCUGGUCUGGAAUCCGGGAGAGGUGUGUGGAAUUCCGAGUGUAGAGGUGAAAUUCGUAGAUAUUCGGAGGAACACCAGAGGCGAAGGCGGCACACUGGACCGGUAUUGACGCUGAGGCGCGAAAGCGUGGGGAGCAAACAGG